UACGUAGGGGGCAAGCGUUGUCCGGAAUCAUUGGGCGUAAAGCGUGUGUAGGCGGCUCGGUAAGUCUGCUGUGAAAGUCCAGGGCUCAACCCUGGGAUGCCGGUGGAUACUGUCGAGCUCGAGUCCGGAAGAGGCGAGUGGAAUUCCUGGUGUAGCGGUGAAAUGCGCAGAUAUCAGGAGGAACACCAAUGGCGAAGGCAGCUCGCUGGGACGUGACUGACGCUGAGACGCGAAAGCGUGGGGAGCAAACAGG
rnacentral:rRNA from 1 species